CUACGGGUUGCAGCAGUGGGGAAUAUUGCACAAUGGGCGCAAGCCUGAUGCAGCAACGCCGCGUGAAGGAUGAAGGCCUUCGGGUCGUAAACUUCUGUCCUUGGGGAAGAAACAAAUGACGGUACCCAUGGAGGAAGCCCCGGCUAACUACGUGCCAGCAGCCGCGGUAAUACGUAGGGGGCAAGCGUUAUCCGGAAUUAUUGGGCGUAAAGAGUGCGUAGGUGGUUACCUAAGCGCAGGGUUUAAGGCAAUGGCUCAACUAUUGUUCGCCCUGUGAACUGGGCUACUUGAGUGCAGGAGAGGAAAGCGGAAUUCCUAGUGUAGCGGUGAAAUGCGUAGAUAUUAGGAGGAACACCAGUGGCGAAGGCGGCUUUCUGGACUGUUACUGACACUGAGGCACGAAAGCGUGGGGAGCAAACAGGAUUAGAUACCCCAGUAGUC
rnacentral:rRNA from 1 species